UGGUAAUCAAGGUCAAAACCAAGGAAAUAUUCCAUUCUAUCCCUUUACGUGAACAGAGGUAUAAAUAAGACGGAGAGAGAGGUCUCUUCCCCUCUUCUCUCCAGUGAACUUGGGAGACAGCAGGUCCCUGCAAUUGGUCUCACUUAUCUGGGAGUUGAGGCCUGCUCAGCUUGUUACUUGCCACACAGGAGGUGGAGGGUGCUGGCCGUGUCUGGCGAUCCUGCUUUUCUUAAAGGAAGUGGUGAGGAUGAAAUUCUAGUUGAAUUCUCCACUCUGUCUGGUUUAGCAGAAACUUGUGUCUUGAGUUAGCAGACUUUGCAAAGCCAGAAAACAAAAUGAUCAAAACAUUGGCUUGACAUUGUGUGGACCAACACUCCACAACUAAGAUGUGAAUGGAAAGGAUUUGUCCCUUCUCUGGAGAAUUCUAUUUAUUAAGAGAAAGAAAGUGUUACAAAAAAUAAAGAAUUCUGAAGCAAAGAAGUGGCUGUGGAAAGAAGAAGGGGGUCCAGAAAGGAUAAAGGAAACAUUCUAGCUGGAGGAAAGUUCUUUAAACUGGGAGAAGAUCCUGGAGAUGGGAGAGAAGUAUGAGGAUAAAUGCCUGACCUUGGCUGGUGAUGCCCCAAACUACCAGGAGCUGCAUAGCAGGAACCAACACAGCCUGAUCCUCCCAGAGCAGCAAAGAUGUUUCUGCAGGGAAGGGAAGUCAGCAUCUAGUGAACUACUUAUCUCUAUGUUUUUUUUCAACCUAAAUGAUUCUGUGAACUUAAUGUUGUGGGAAAAGGAGGGAGAUAACCAAGCAGAAAAAAAGCUCUAACCUCUUUUGUUUGUUUUCUAUAAAGAAUUUGCUUAACUGAAUAAAGAUUUGUUAGCUCAGGGACUCAUCUCAUCCCUUCUGCUAUCCAUAUUGCUCUCCAAAUCAUAAUCUUUUUAUUUUGUGUUCUCUCUGUUCUCAUAAAUACUUUUGUAAAUACACACAAGUAUACAAUGUUAAACCAAAAGGGUCUAAGACCUGUA